UACGUAGGGGGCAAGCGUUGUCCGGAAUCAUUGGGCGUAAAGAGCGUGUAGGCGGCCAGCAAAGUCCGAUGUGAAAACUCGAGGCUCAACUUCGAGCUGUCGGUGGAAACUUUCUGGCUAGAGUCCGGAAGAGGAGAAUGGAAUUCCUGGUGUAGCGGUGAAAUGCGCAGAUAUCAGGAAGAACACCCGUGGCGAAGGCGGUUCUCUGGGACGGUACUGACGCUGAGACACGAAAGCGUGGGGAGCGAACAGG
rnacentral:rRNA from 1 species